AGAGCGAACGCUGGCGGCGUGCCUAACACAUGCAAGUCGAACGAGAAAGUGGAGCAAUCCAUGAGUAAAGUGGCGACCGGGUGAGUAACACGUGACUAACCUACCUUCGAGUGGGGGAUAACCUCGGGAAACCGAGGCUAAUACCGCAUAACAUCGCAAGAUCAAAGCAGCAAUGCGCUUGGAGAGGAGUUCGCGGCCGAUUAGUUAGUUGGCGGGUAAUGGCCCACAAGACGAUGAUCGGUA
rnacentral:rRNA from 1 species